CGGAGUUCGUCGCAAUUGAGACGAGUAAAUGUGCUUGGGGGGGUGGAUAGGACACAUCGCGAGACGGGACAGUGGCCGACGGAAGAGACCGGUGGUGGUGGUGGUGGUGGUGAAGAGGCCGCGGCUAAGAGAAGGAACGACGCGGACACAGCGACGAGAUCGAGCGGGAGCAAGGCGGACGCGAGGAGCACUGGACCACGUGGGAAGGCGACGGCGUUGUGGAGAGAUCUUCAUCCAGCAGUGGAUUGACAAUGGCUGGUGCUGCUGCGGAUGAUUAAUAAUGAAUUGGGAUCAACAAUAAUGCCCUGUAAAGCCAGGUCAUUCCGAAGGAUGGAACAAUGCGAACCUUCACAAUGACCACCUGAUUCGAGACCCAAACAUCAUCAGCACCUCCUGGCUUUGACACUUCUGGCAGACGCUCGUUUAACCAUCACUCGCAUCAGCACAUCACCAGGCUGCUGUGAUCAUUUCCUUCUUAUGAAGCGGAGAAGCUGGAGGAAGCCCAAGCAGUAACAGGGGGACGGCGUCCGAACGUCUCAACGAAAGGCGCCCAAGUCGGGAAUCGAACAGAG